rnacentral:tRNA from 1 species
GGCCUGACGUUUGGAAACACUAGACCUUGAACGUCUAUAA